rnacentral:rRNA from 1 species
GACGUAGGGCGCGAGCGUUGUCCGGAUUUAUUGGGCGUAAAGGGUGCGUAGGCGGCGCGGUAAGUCGGGUGUGAAAUCUUGGAGCUUAACUCCGAAACUGCAUUCGAUACUGGCGUGCUUGAGGACUGGAGAGGAGACUGGAAUUCAUGGUGUAGCAGUGAAAUGCGUAGAGAUCAUGAGGAAGACCAGUGGCGAAGGCGGGUCUCUGGACAGUUCCUGACAGCUGAGACACGGAAGGCCAGGGGAGCAAACGGG